GGGGAGAGAGCACGCAACUUCGUCCUUCUUCCUCCUCACAGUCGCCGCCUCUCCCUUUCCCUCGUGCCUCCAGCGCCGCCGUCGGGGAUUCAAGCCCCUGCCUCCGUCUUGGAGAUGUGCUGCAGGGGUUCCAUCCACGACGCUGCCGUCGACCUCCUCCUCGGCGUGAUGAGCUCUGUAGUCUCCAUCCAUGGCUCCACUCCGUCAAUCGCCCCAGCCAGCCAGGGUCGUGCACACCAUCGGCACCCGGAGGGCGCCAUCUCGUAUCGUUGCGAGUUGUUCUGCCUCACGCUCGACCCGAGCAGCGGUGAGGGGAGGGGCGCCGGUGACGUCUGCAGACCUCGCCGUCCCUUGCAGGCCGCCGCCAAGACACAACAUAGGGAUCCACGACCAAGCUGAGUCGUCACCUGUUCGUCUCUGCCAGCCCCUCCCUUCACCUCUCUCCCCCUUGGCGCUCAACAAGAGAAGCAUCGCUGCUGCACGACGGGAGUGGGUGGUGCCACUGUCCCCGUUCUCAGCGUCAAGAAGAAGUCCACAUCUAGCAUUGGAUGGGAAACAACGCCCACGCCUAGGCCAUGCGGAUGGAUGACGAAGAGGAGCAGCUAUUAGACACUGCCGUGGCUGUCAGGUUGUGAUGCCUAGGCCUCCUGGAGAUUAACAUCGACGAGGAGUAGAUUUUGUUCUCCGUUGCUCGCUCCUGAUUGGGCUAGCAACUGCGGAGCGUUUGACCAGUAACGCGGUAUCAAGGCCUCCUCCCACUUUCUUCAGCCCCACCGAUCUCUUUAUUUUUUGUACCAUGUUCUCAGAUGUGCCUCAUUAGGGCGUUCGUCUCUGCCAUAUGGAUAGGUUUAUGCAGGGAAGAGGCUGUAGAAGAGGUGGUUUAGCUUUUGCUGGUUUGCAGCACAACGCUAUUGUGUUCAUCUACCUGACAUGCUUUGGAUUGUGUCAGGUUCAUGACCUCAUUUACUGCGCAACAAUAUGAAUUCAACAGUACGGAUUAUGUGAAUAUUUUUUCACAUCGUCUUUCAGGGAGCGUUUUGAGAAGGAAAAGGUCAUCUAUACAAUGAGUGUACCAAAAUGGAGUCCGCGGUUCAGCUGAACUAAUGUCAUUGCAAGAUGUGAAUCUAUUGAUGGAUCUUACCUGAUACCUACCUAGAUAGCUAGGUUGGUUCCACCUGAAGUGAAGGUAAAAAAAAACAGGGGAAUUCUGAAUUGGGAGGUACACGGUUAUGGUUCAGGUAAUUUUGCCACUGAAGAUUAGCUAGACCAUGUGUCUUCUGUGAGGUGCUCAAAUCAGUCACUGCAUUUUUUGAUUUGCUAAAUUUGCCGUUCGGUUAUUAUUCAAUGAAAACAUGACCGUCAUAUAUGCUAUUUCUUAUUGAAUAUUAUCCUGGUUUUACAUGUUACGGAUAACUGAAUAAUGUGUGAUUAAGUGAUUUGCCUCAUUGUUAUUUGCAGGGUUAUGCCCCAUUUUUGUGCCAUGUAUCUUUUCCUUAUUAAAAUAUGAGGUCAUGUUUUUUGUGAAAGAAAAUACGAGGUCAUGUUGAUAUAGUUGUUUCUUGUAUUUGGUAUUAUUUUCGUGUGAUAUGUAAAUGCUGCUUCCAUAUGUAUGAUCCUGCCACAAGCGACCAUGUUAACAACAUGCCAUGCUUCAGCCCCUCCCUUUUUUGUUUUAUAGUUCAUACUUUUCUUGAUUAUUUAUGUAAACCAAGUGUUACAUAAGUUCCUCGACUAUAUUUUCUGCCCGCCGUCCUCUGCACAGAAGUUAUGUAACCUCUUACUUUUUUAUCUAACUCUAGAAGGUCUUAAGACUAACACAUUCAGUUAGUUGCCUCUGGUGGCUUUUCACUAAUGAGUAAUGACACUCUUUUAUUGGUACUUCAGCUCAUGGUCUUCUCAAUAUUAUUUUCCUCCUUAAUUCAUGUGAAGUUUUGCAAAUAGUAUAUCUCAUUGCAGCAUGCUUAACUAUACAAGUUUUUCUCAAAAAAAAAAAAAAACUAUACAAGUUUUGUGGUAGGAGCAUUAAAGAGAGACAUUAUUGACCUCACAUGGUCUCCAAAAGGAAUCAUCACAAAGAUUGGAGAUGCCUUUCCUUGUCUAGCAUAUGGUUGGUUGGCUGAUUUAUUGGUCUACUUUGAAGGCUUUGAUUUUUUCCGUUGUUCAUUACAUUGGGUUAUUCGCUAACUUGACACACACCAUCUUACUAUAGGUUUAUGCCUACUCAUAUCGGCGCAGAAACAUACUCUGCAGGCCAGUUGUACUGUUCUUCAUUCUGUGUAUAUGAUAAUAAUUUUUUGUCUGAUAAUGAUUCAAUAGAUUUGAACUCUCUUCUCAGCAUCUUCUGCUCAUUGUUAAAAGACUGGCCAGACAUGGUCAAGGAAAAGUGUAAGGGAUACAUUCUUAACUGCCAGGGUAGCCUGCAAAAAUUCCUAAUAUACCGUAGUUUGCAAUGAUGUAAUGGUGUCCUACCUGCACCAUCCAGUUUGCCUUUACUAAUUAUUAUUUCUACCACAUGCAUUUGUAUGCCGGUGGCUUUGGCUUGGUUCCUGGUUCAUAAUCUCAUGGUACGAAGGAAUUUUUAACCUGUUGGACUAUUUGACAUUAUGCAAGGCGCAAUAAUGAUAACUUGAUUCCACUUCUUGGAAGCUGACCUAGCCAUAAGCAUUAUGUGUUACAGCAUGGUUGACCUCUAUGUUCUUUUUUAUAUUUGUAUUGUUGCACAUCUCACUGACUGUGUUAUCCUCCUGUAAGAAUAACAAUUCCAAGCUUGAUGUAACUGUUCUUAGGUUCCCUGAAGAAAUGACAAUUGCUGGGACAUGAAACCUGAUUGGAAUCUUGCUUAGAUAAUUUACACAGAGAAGCCUAUAAGUUUGGAUAAUUCUUAGUCUUGCACAUGUAUAGGCCAUAAGAUGGCAUUUGAAAAAUGGCGUGCCCUAUUUGAUAUCACAUUUUCAUGGUCAUCCUAAUUUAUUCUCUUGCUGAGUUCUCUAUUAAUAAACUAGGUGACGUGUCUUCUUGGGAGUUGCAGGAAAAAUUGAAUUUUUUUCUGAUUUUAUUUCUCUGUGUGAGGUUAUAAAAGGUCAUGCUAGGCCCGCAAAAAUGUUCAUGUUAGAUUACAGUGGGAUCGCUGGAAUGUCAGUUGAUGCAUGCCCUUUUUAUUUACUUAUUUCUGGAUCACUGGCUUGCAAUUUCUUUCCAGUUCACAAGAGGGAUUUUUCUGAAAUCUGUAUUUUGUAUCUUUUAGCUAAAACUGAACAACCAUACACAUAAGGCAAAGGAUCAAGUCAGUGCCUCUUACUGAUGUUUGUUUCAUUUAUCUUAUAGCUUCAUUAAAGAAAAUCAGUAAUGCAUUAUUUUCAUUGUCUUUCGUACUACGGAUAUUGGUGAUUUAUCUUCAGAUAUACGCUCAUUCUUGGGGACACACAACCAAUUCAAUAGGUCACUAGCUGGAUUAGAAACCAGAUAUGGUAUGCCUCUUUGAUACGCACACCAUUUCUUUAUGCUGGAUGAAUAGCUCGCAGCUUCAGUUGACACCCUCAUUUAUUUUGUUAGCAUUUGCGAUCAACCACGAGCUAAAAACAGGGUCAUAUUGUUCUUUUUUCCCCUGUUAGCUGACUGAAAUGAUUGAACAUAUUUUCCUGUAUAUGAAUAAAGACACAUAUGCUGAACCUGUGAUGGAAAACGUUCUUUGUAGUUUACCAUAAAAACUAUAAAGGUACAUGAUCUAACACUUUUGUUAGUAUAUAUUUUUGUAUGCCUUCCAAUACGACUAAAUAUUGCAGUUGCUAAUGUUGUAUGCUUAUGCAUAUUGAACUUGUUUUCCUGUAGCUGAUCCAUAGUUGCCAAAUACAAAUAUAUUAUUUUUGAUUGGAUGUGAUCUGUUUCUAAAUACGUUACACUUGGUUCCUUAUAUUUCUUACAUUAAACCAUCCGAGUGAUGCACCAUAUAAUUUCUACUUGCAGUAUUUGUAUGCACAUGUACCUUGUUUUGUCUGCUCAGGAAGUACAUGUGGCCUUUGAUUUGCCCAUUUUGCUGAGGUAUGCCAAAACUGAGGGAGAUCUGAGGGGAAGAAAAAAACAAGCACUACAUAUAUCUUUCUGUGAGAGUUAACUCGCCAUUAAAAGGAAUAACAUAUUUACGUAAAUUACACAUGUAACUUUCAUACAUUAUUACUGAUAUGUUAGUGAUUUAGCCUGAACAUUAUUACUGAUAUCUGUAGUGCACAUUUCUUUGUGUUGUCAUCUACCUAACUGUUGGUUGUCAGACUUUUGCUUUUGUCUUUGACUGAGAGGAGUAUAUCUAUUUUGGUAGUUGUAGUUUCUCUGCCUUAUUCUUAGUGUAGAUAUGCCAGCUUUUUAAGUAGAGUCACAUGAGGUGAUUUGGACGAGUGAGGCGACCAUGAUAAGAAAGAAGGUUUCGAUGCACACUGCCUAUUUGCUGAGAUGUUCCUGUGCAGUUUAUUUAUCGUGUUGAUUGUAUGGAUUUUGGAGGGUGGAGCAAGGAGGAGCUGCCAGGUGUUAGUUUGGAAAGUGGGAUAUGCAAGUGUUCUUUUUCUCUAGGUUUACAUGGCAAUCCUUCCAUGGUUUCUGGCAUGCGUAUGGUUCUUCCGAUGUUUCCAUUUUAUGGAUGAUGUUGAUUCCCUGCCACAUCUUACAGUGUUGGUUCCCUCCCAUUGUUUAAGGAUACGACACAGGGUUCAAUAUGUUGGUUAAUUUACCUUGCCAUUUACAGCAGUGUUAGCUUUGGGUGGAGCAAGUACCUAUUAAAUCAUGUGUAAUAUCCUCCAAAGACAAUGAUAUGUUACUUUUGUUGAUCUUUCCUUCUUUUGCACUUCACAAAGCCAUAUGCUAUUGGUUGCUGUAAUAUGUUCCCAUGUUUCCCUGAUUGGGUACAUGCCUUGGAGAUCCGUUUGUAGUUUCAUGUAUUUGAUCAUACCAAAGAAAGCUUAUUAUCAA